CAUAUGCUUGUCUCAAAGAUUAACCCAUGCAUGUCCGAGUACAGACCGAUCUAAGGUGAAACCGCGAAUGGCUCAUUAAAUCAGUCAUAAUUCCUUGGAUAGUGAAAAACUUUCCUCGGAUAACUGUGGAAAAUCCAGAGCUAAUACGUGCAACUGAGCUCCGACCUAGACGCGAGUCUUGGGAAGAGCGCAUUUGUUASWWUCAAAACUGACCGGCGUACUCCUUCGGGAUACGCCGUUUGUUAAAAUUUGAUGACUCAGGACAACUAAGUCGAGCGCUCCGGUCUUUAGUACCGGCGCCGUAUCUUUCAAGUGUCUGCCUUAUCAGCUUUCKAUUGUAKGUUAAACGCCUACAAUGGCUGUAACGGGUAACGGGGAAUCAGGGUUCGAUUCCGGAGAGGGAGCCUGAGAAACGGCUACCACAUCUAAGGAAGGCAGCAGGCACGCAAAUUACCCACUCCCAGCYCGGGGAGGUAGUGACGAAAAAUAACGAUGCGAGACUCUUCCGAGGCCUCGCAAUCGGAAUGAGGAAUCUGGCGGGCGGCGAGGCGUUGUCUUAGAGUAUAGCUCGUCCGCGUUUGGUACAAUUAAAAUUUUGUCGGCUCGCUCGGAGUGCUCUUUACCGAGUGUUCCAGGGUGGCUGACACGUUCACUUUGAAAAAAUUAGAGUGCUUAAAGCGGGCUUAUUUACGGCCUGAAUGUCUGUGCAUGGAAUGAAGUAACAGGACCUCGAUUCUGUUGUUUUUGUCGGUUUUAAUGAACCGAGGUAAUGAUUAAAAGGGACAGACGGCGGCAUUAGUAUUGCGGCGCUAGAGGUGAAAUUCUUGGACCGUCGCAAGACUAACUACUGCGAAAGCAUUUGCCGAGAAUGUUUUCAUUAAUCAAGAACGAAAGUUAGAGGAUCGAAGGCGAUCAGAUGCCGCCCUAGUUCUAACCCUAAACUAUGCUAACUAGCGAUCCGUCGGAGUCAUUCCCACGACCCGACGGGAAGCCCCAGGGAAACCAAAGUCUUUGAAUUCCGGGGGAAGUAUGGUUGCAAAGCUGAAACUUAAAGAAAUAGACGGAAGGGCACCACCAGGAGUGGAGCCUGCGGGUUAAUUUGACUCAACACGGGAAACCUCACCAGGCCCGGACAUCAUUAGGAUUGACAGGKGGAGAGCUCUUUCUCGAUUUGAUGGGUGGUGGUGCAUGGCCGUUCUUAGUUGGUGGAGUGAUCUGUCUGGUUGAUUCCGAUAACGAACGAGACUCUACCCUACUAACUAGUCGGCGGAUCGWAACCCUGAKAUGGUUAGUUUGURUAGGAGAGUUUUGCCUAGGCGUGGGUCCUCCGAUCGAUAGGGGUACGUAUCAUUAGCUAUUCGUAGCGAAGGGUAUGCGCUUCCUAGAGGUCGCGAGCGGUUCUGUCGAAGMUGCUUUCUGAUUACUACUACUGCUGGGGGCGUCCGUCGCAAUGUAUCUUCUUAGAGGGAUCAGCGGCGUAUAGCCGCACGAGAAAGAGCAAUAACAGGUCUGUGAUGCCCUUAGAUGUUCUGGGCCGCACGCGCGCUACAAUGUAKGGCUCAGCGUGCUUCCCCUCUCCGAAAGGAGCGGGUAACCCGUUGAAACCCCUACCCGAUUGGGAUUGGGGAUUGCAAUUAUUUCCCAUAAACGAGGAAUUCCCAGUAAGCGCGAAUCAWUAAUUCGCGCUGAUUACGUCCCUGCCCUUUGUACACACCGCCCGUCGCUACUACCGAUUGAAUGAUUCAGUGAGGGCAUCGGACUGGCCCUUCGGUUUAGUAACCUAGACCUUAGGCUGACGGAAAGAUGUCCGAACUUGAUCAUUUAGAGGAAGUAAAAGUCGUAACAAGGUUUC
rnacentral:rRNA from 1 species